rnacentral:rRNA from 1 species
CCUACGGGAGGCAGCAGUGAGGAAUAUUGGUCAAUGGCCGAGAGGCUGAACCAGCCAAGUCGCGUGAGGGAAGAAUGUCCUAUGGAUUGUAAACCUCUUUUGUCAGGGAGCAAAGUCACCCACGUGUGGGUGUUGGAGAGUACCUGAAGAAAAGGAAUGGGUAAACUCGGGCCAGCAGGCGCGGGAAUUAGGGGGGUGCCAGCUUUAUCCGGAUUUAUUGGGGUUAAAGGGUGCGUAGGCGGGUUAUCAAGUAAGGGGUAAAAUCGUGGAGCUCAACUCCAUCCAGCCGUUGAAACUGAUGAUCUUGAGUGGGCGAGAAGUAUGCGGAAUGCGUGGUGUAGCGGUGAAAUGCAUAGAUAUCACGCAGAACUCCGAUUGCGAAGGCAGCAUACCGGCGCCCGACUGACGCUGAAGCACGAAAGCGUGGGUAUCGAACAGGAUUAGAUACCCCAGUAGUC